CCUACGGGUGGCAGCAGUGGGGGAUAUUGCACAAUGGGGGAAACCCUGAUGCAGCGACGCCGCGUGAGGGAAGAAGUAUUUCGGUAUGUAAACUUCUAUCAGCAGGGAAGAAAAUGACGUUACCUGACGAAGAAGCCCCGGCUAACUCCGUGCCAGCAGCCGCGGUAAUACGUAGGGGGCAAGCGUUAUCCGGAUUUACUGGGUGUAAAGGGAGCGGAGGCGGCGAUGCAAGUCAGAAGUGAAAGCCCGGGGCUCAACUCCGGGACUGCUUUUGAAACUGGAUGGCUGGAUUGCAGGAGAGGCAAGUGGAAUUCCUAGUGUAGCGGUGAAAUGCGUAGAUAUUAGGAGGAACACCAGUGGCGAAGGCGGCUUGCUGGACUGUAAAUGACGCUGAGGCUCGAAAGCGUGGGGAGCAAACAGGAUUAGAUACCCGAGUAGUC
rnacentral:rRNA from 1 species